rnacentral:rRNA from 1 species
UACGAAGGGGGCUAGCGUUGCUCGGAAUUACUGGGCGUAAAGGGCUUGUAGGUGGCCAACUAAGUCAGACGUGAAAUCCCUCGGCUUAACCGGGGAACUGCGUCUGAGACUGGAUGGCUUGAGUGUGGUAGGGGAGAUCGGAAUUCCUGGUGUAGCGGUGAAAUGCGUAGAUAUCUGGAGGAACACCGGUGGCGAAGGCGGCAUCCUGGACCGGCAUUGACGCUGAGGCGCGAAAGCUAGGGGAGCAAACGGG